UAUCACAGAUCAAUCCGUGAUGAAUGUAACAUGGCCCACAAUGAGCGUACCGUGUUAUUCCGAAUCAGCGAUGAACGAAUGAUUAAUAAAUGAGACUAUAUUCUCGCCUCCUUCGCUUCGUCACUGAAAUACAAUCCACUCACAUGAAUGAUUCAGAACAGAUGAUAUGGUAUAAAUAGACGACGACUGUAGCAUCACAAGUUGAUGAUAAACAUUAAAACAUUCGUAUAAAACAGCCAUCAUCAAACAAUCAACAAAUACAAGCGCUGAGAGGCGCUGAGGGGCGCUGAGGUGCGCUGAGGAGCGCUGAGGGGCGCUGAGGGGCGUUAAUAGACAGACGAAGCUCAAGGGAAUGCCAAAGAGGAGGAGCAAAACUAUGCGACAAAAAAAAAUGUUUAUGUUUACAUAUCGCCAAUGAUUAGAGGAAUGAGGCAUAAAGACAAGCAUUACCCAGGGCUGAAAAAAAAAUCUACAGAAUAUGAAAGGCAAAAUACGACUAGAGAACCAACCGACCAACAAACCAACAUUCAUAUCGGUUAUUAUUUAGUAGAGAUUAUCUCACCUUCUAUAAUUUAUUUCAUACUACGAUUUUCCUUCUUUUUUCUUUUUCGUUAUUUUUUUCAUUUAUUAAAUCGUGUGUAGAAUGUAUCAUAGAUUAAAACAGGUCAGUAAAUUAAUUAUAUCA